AUUAGCCAGAGUUACAUGGUGAGGCCCAGUUUUGUUUUGUUUUUGUUUUUGGCAGAGUUUCUCUGUGUAGCCCUGGCUGUC
rnacentral:pre_miRNA from 1 species